rnacentral:lncRNA from 1 species
AAAACUCGAUCGAUAGAUAGAUCGAGCGGGAAAACUCAAUCGAUAGAUAGAACGAGCGGGAACACUCGAUACACAGAAGCCCUCCCUCCUGCCUCCUCCUUGCGUCCCUAUUUCUUCUGGCGGCGACUCCAAACCCUAAUUAAUGACAAAAACCAAAAAGAACAAGUGAAGAACACAGGCUAAAGAUGCAGCGAUUUCAGCUCACCUUGAUGGUAUAAUAGGAUGUUUUAGAAGAAUACAAAGGCUCCAAAAGGCUGAAAACAAGAAACAUGUCAUGCAAUCAUACCUUGAAGACAACGCAAAUGUAACACAUUUAGUAGAUCGUAGGUUUUCUUAGUAUUUAAUAAUUUUUAUUUUUAUACUCUUUCUAUGAUUGCAUUUUACAGGAUGCCCUUGGCAGAUCAAGAUUUGAAGAGGAAUUACUUUUGAAGGUAUAACUUUUCUUAAGCAUUAGAAAUAUUCAAAUCCAUGAUAUUUUAACUAUUCAUUAAUCAUUAUUACUUUUUGCAGAAAAAAGCUAAGAUCAUCAAAAAGAAAGGCUACUGUAGGCCUUUCGUUUGAGGUAAGUAGGCAUUAAUAAUAAACACAAGUAGUUUACAACUUUUAACACACCUCCUAUAAGCUAGAUGUUGGAACAUCCCCUGUGAACAAAUCCAAAACAACCGUAGGCUACAUCUUUCUAAACUCUCUCGCUUUUUAUUCAGUAUCAUAACAUACAAUAUAUAUACACGUACCUAGCUGCUACUCCACUUUUAAAGGGAAACAAACUCACCUAAUCAAAGCAAUAAAACAGGAGCAAACUAAACCUAUCUAAACUAUUCUAAAAUUCUGCAAAAUAAACGCGGCCUAAUUCAAACUCUACAAGAAGGACUAAAAUACCCCUAAGGAUAAUUACGUGAUUGACUAUGUUUGGAUUAACACUAGACAUGCCUAAUUCUUUCUUCAAUCUAUCAAAGUUUGGGAACUUGUAAAGCCUUCGGUAUAUCUCUAACUUCGAUUGCUUUCAAACAUUAGACUCCAAACUACAUCUGGUUCAUCCGUCAUCAAGUCACCAUCUUAAGUUUGAGGAGGGUGUUGGUAUGUAUAUAGUAGGUUAAUAUUAUAAUGUAGCUGGACAUAAUUGUAUUUUCUAUUCUUUGCUAGGAGUACAUUAUGUUUCUUUUGUUAUCCCAUUUAGGAUUGGA